rnacentral:rRNA from 1 species
GGUCUUGAACUCACCGGCAAUUCGGCAGAGAUGCCUUCUAGUGCCUUACGAGAGAACCGUGAGACAGGUGCUGCAUGGCUGUCGUCAGCUCGUGUUGUGAAAUGUUGGGUUAAGUCCCGCAACGAGCGCAACCCUUAUCCUUUGUUGCCAGCGGUCCGGCCGGGAACUCAAAGGAGACUGCCAGUGAUAAACUGGAGGAAGGUGGGGAUGACGUCAAGUCAUCAUGGCCCUUACGACCAGGGCUACACACGUGCUACAAUGGCAUAUACAAAGAGAAGCGACCUCGCGAGAGCAAGCGGACCUCAUAAAGUAUGUCGUAGUCCGGAUUGGAGUCUGCAACUCGACUCCAUGAAGUCGGAAUCGCUAGUAAUCGUGGAUCAGAAUGCCACGGUGAAUACGUUCCCGGGUCUUGUACACACCG